UACUUUCGUGAGCUGCAAACAAACGCAUUGCAAGUUUUAAAAUUUUGCAAAUAAUUUAAAAUAAUGGCGGUGGAACUUUUGAGAAUUCUUAUUUGGCCGAUAUUUGGUGUUCUGCUCAGCGCAAAUCUCGCUUGUGGCAAGCCCGUAUCAACAUUGCUGGACGCUGAAGAGAUAGCGGGCAUGUUUGAAGGCGAUAUGGUCUUAACGGCGGAUCAAGAACGUCUGCUAAGAAGUCCGCUGCAAGGCCGAAAUGGUUUGGUUGACGAGACCAAGCGGUGGCCGAAUCGUAUUGUUUACUACAAAAUUGUCGGCGAUUUUGACUUAAUUCAUCGCCAAGCCAUUUCAGACGCCAUAGAGGUUUUGGAAGCGCGUACCUGCUUAAAAUUCCAUGAGGCCAGUGAAGCCUCCAAGCAAUACGUGGCAAUUUCUUCCAUGGCGGGUGGCUGCUACACCGCUGUUGGCUAUCAGGCCAAAGUGCAGACAAUGAACUUGGAGAAUUAUCCAGUUGGUGAGGGCUGCUUCCGAGCGGGCACCAUAUUGCACGAGUUCAUGCACGCGCUCGGCUUCUAUCAUCAACAAAGUGAUAGCAAUCGCGAUAAGUACAUACACGUUGUCUACGACAAUAUUGUGCCAGGUAAAGAGCCAAACUUUGAAAAAUACGACGCGUCAUUUGUGACCGAUUUCGAUGUGGGUUACGACUAUGAUAGCUGCCUACAUUAUAGACCCGGCGCAUUUUCAAAGAAUGGUAAAGACACGAUUGUGCCGUUAGACGCGACGGCAGUUAUCGGUCAGCGAGAACAUUUGAGUAAAAAGGAUAUAAACAAAAUUAAUAUCAUGUACAAGUGUCCCAUACUGACCUAAAAGUGCAUUACUCCAAUAACAGAUCAAAUACGCAUUAUAAGUGAUACAACUAAUGGAUUAUCGAUACUCUCUUAUUCCAACGAAAAUUAUGUUGCAUGUAUAUCAGGAAUGUAAUAAAACGUUUUUCGUUCUAAGAUGAAAACUAUCAGAGGAGAUAUUUGG